rnacentral:rRNA from 1 species
AAUAUACUGUGGGGACGAAAGUCUCUGCUUUUAACUAGAUAGCAACUUUCAGCAGUGGAUGUCUAGGCUCGCACAUCGAUGAAGAACGCUGCGAACUGCGAUACGUAAUGCGAAUUGCAGGAUUCAGUGAGUCAUCGAAAUUUUGAACGCAUAUUGCACUUC